GAGAAGUUGAGUAUUCACCAGAAAGCCUUCAGUUUGUUAAAUCCUUAAGCCUCUCAGCAAAUAAUUUAGUUGGCGAGAUCCCUGAUGAGAUAAUGGAGCUGGUUCAAUUGCAAGUUUUGAAUCUUUCACAAAAUCAUUUGACUGGAAAGAUCCCUGAUAAGAUUGGCAACUUGAAGCAACUUGAAACACUUGAUCUAUCAAUGAAUGAACUCUUCGGUGCAAUCCCUGAGCUUAUCUGAUUUGUACUCAUUGAACUCUCUCAAUUUGUCACACAAUAAACUUUCAGGGCCAAUACCAUCAGGAAAUCAGCUUCAAACCUUGACCGAUCCAUCCAUCUAUGAAGGAAACAGUGGACUUUGUGGCAAUCCGCUCCCAAACAACUGCUCGGAACACAAAUUGCCUGCCAAAAAUGGGCCUAUUGAUGAUGAUGAAGGCCACAGCGAAUCUGAUUGGUCUUGGUUUUAUGCUGGAAUAGGACCGGGUUUUGCUGCCGGGCUGUCAGGAGUUUUGGGAAUCCUUCUCUUCAAGAAGUCAUGGCGCUAUGCAUAUUUCAAGUUUAUAGAAAGUGCCUGUGACAAAAUCUGGGUAAAGACUACUCGCCCGCGGAGGAAUUUCCGUUGAACUAUCAGAGUGGCUGCUGCUGUUGUUGUCCAGAGUGCCUCGAGAAGCAAUAAUAGUUUUGUUGUGUUUUCGUGUAUUUAAGCUUCGAGUAUUCAGUAGGUGUUUUUCUGUUUUGUUUUGCAUCUGAGGAUUAGUCCUCUUUCUACAGCUGUGAAUUCUAUGUCAUACCAAAGUUUCAAUUGUUUGCUUAAACAAAUUUUGGAAUUUCGUUUUACCUUCUCUCA